rnacentral:rRNA from 1 species
GAUGAACGCUGGCGGCGUGCCUAAUACAUGCAAGUCGAGCGAACGGACGAGAAGCUUGCUUCUCUGAUGUUAGCGGCGGACGGGUGAGUAACACGUGGAUAACCUACCUAUAAGACUGGGAUAACUUCGGGAAACCGGAGCUAAUACCGGAUGAUAUUUUGAACCGCAUGGUUCAAAAGUGAAAGACGGUCUUGCUGUCACUUAUAGAUGGAUCCGCGCUGCAUUAGCUAGUUGGUAAUGUAACGGCUUACCAAGGCAACGAUGCAUAGCCGACCUGAGAGGGUGAUCGGCCACACUGGAACUGAGACACGGUCCAGACUCCUACGGGAGGCAGCAGUAGGGAAUCUUCCGCAAUGGGCGAAAGCCUGACGGAGCAACGCCGCGUGAGUGAUAAAGGUCUUCGGAUCGUAAAACUCUGUUAUUAGGGAAGAACAUAUGUGUAAGUAACUGUGCACAUCUUGACGGUACCUAAUCAGAAAGCCACGGCUAACUACGUG